UACGAAGGGGGCUAGCGUUGCUCGGAAUCACUGGGCGUAAAGGGUGCGUAGGCGGACUUUUAAGUCGGGGGUGAAAUCCCAGGGCUCAACCCUGGAACUGCCUCCGAUACUGGGAGUCUCGAGACCGGGAGAGGUGAGUGGAACUGCGAGUGUAGAGGUGAAAUUCGUAGAUAUUCGGAAGAACACCAGUGGCGAAGGCGGCCCGCUGGACCGGCAUUGACGCUGAGGUGCGAAAGCGUGGGGAGCAAACAGG
rnacentral:rRNA from 1 species